rnacentral:rRNA from 1 species
AUACGUAGGUGGCAAGCGUUGUCCGGAAUUAUUGGGCGUAAAGCGCGCGCAGGUGGUUCCUUAAGUCUGAUGUGAAAGCCCCCGGCUCAACCGGGGAGGGUCAUUGGAAACUGGGGAACUUGAGUGCAGAAGAGGAUAGUGGAAUUCCAAGUGUAGCGGUGAAAUGCGUAGAGAUUUGGAGGAACACCAGUGGCGAAGGCGACUGGCUGGUCGGUAACUGCCACUGAGGAGCAAAAGGGUGGGGAGCAAACAGGAUUAGAUGCCCUGGUAGUCCACGCCGUAAACGAUGAGUGCUAAGUGUUGGGGGGUUUCCGCCCCUCAGUGCUGCAGCUAACGCAUUAAGCACUCCGCCUGGGGAGUACGGUAGCAAGACUGAAACUCAAAUGAAUUGACGGGG